GGAGAGGUGGCAGAGCUGGCUGAAUGCGGCGGAUUGCUAAUCCGUUGUACCGGUAUAAGCCGGUACCGAGGGUUCGAAUCCCUCCCUCUCCG
rnacentral:tRNA from 1 species